GCCAGGCUUGGUGGCAUGUGCCUGUAGUACCAGCUACCUGUGAGGCUGAGGCUGGAGGAUCGCUUGAGUCCAGGAGUUCUGGGCUGUAGUGCACUAUGCCAAUCCGGUGUCUGCACUAAGUUUGGCAUCAAUAUAGUGACAUCCUGGGAGCGGGGGACCACCAGGUUGCCUAAGGAGGGGUGAACCGGCCCAGGUCAGAAAUGGAGCAGGUCAGAAACUCCUGUGCUGAUCAGUAGUGAUAUCACACUGAAUAGCUACUGCACUCCAACCAGGGCAACAUAGGGAGACCCUGUCUCU
rnacentral:SRP_RNA from 1 species